rnacentral:lncRNA from 1 species
UGUGGGAGUAGAGUGCACAUCUAGAUGGAAUCUAUCGAUCUUGAUAGGGAGGAGUAGUCCUAUAAGAUUUGAGAGGCUAAAUCAGAGGGUCUGUGGCCACAGUAGUAUAAUGGAUGGAAAAGAAUUUUUAUGAGAAUCACAAUUGGACUUGAGCUGAUCGAAUCUAUCAUAUGACUGAUGAUGAGGUUUGACGAUUUAUCCAUGACUUGCCAUCUAGUUGGAACUCACGAUAGAGAGA